rnacentral:rRNA from 1 species
AUUGAACGCUGGCGGCAGGCCUAACACAUGCAAGUCGAGCGAGCGGCGGACGGGUGAGUAAUGUGUGGGAAAAUGCCUGAUGGAGGGGGAUAACUCUUGGAAACGGUAGCUAAUACAGCAUAUCCUAGGAUGUGCCCAGAUGGGAUUAGCUCGUAGGGGGGGUAACGGCUCACCACGGCGAGGAUCCCUAGCUGGUCUGAGAGGAUGACCAGCCACACUGGAACUGAGACACGGUCCAGACUCAUACGGGAGGCAGCAGUGGGGAAUAUUGCACAAUGGGCGCAAGCCUGAUGCAGCCAUGCCGCGUGUAUGAAGAAGGCCUUCGGGUUGUAAAGCACUUUCAGCGGGGAGGCGUUACCCGCAGAAGAAGCACCGGCUAACUCCGUGCCAGCAGCCGCGGUAAUUC